GAUGAACGCUGGCGGCGUGCCUAAUACAUGCAAGUCGAGCGAACGGACGAGAAGCUUGCGUCUCUGAUGUUAGCGGCGGACGGGUGAGUAACACGUGGAUAACCUACCUAUAAGACUGGUAUAACUUCGGGAAACCGGCGCUAAUACCGGAGAAUAUUUUGAACCGCAUGGGUCAAAAGUGAAAGACGGUCUUUCUGGCACUUAUAGAUGGAUCCGCGCUGUAUUAGCUAGUUGGUAAGGUAACGGCUUACCAAGGCAACGAUGCAUAGCCGACCGGAGAGGGUGAUCGGCCACACUAGAACUGAGCCACGGUCAAGACUCCUACGGGAGGCCGCAGUAGGGAAUGUUCCGCAAUGGGCGAAAGCCUGACGGAGCAACGCCGCGUGAGUGAUGACGGUCUUCGGAUCGUAAAACUCUGUUAUUAGUGAAGAACAUAUGUGUAAGUAACUGUGCACAUCUUGACGGUACCUAAUCAGAAAGCCACGGCUAACUACGUG
rnacentral:rRNA from 1 species